rnacentral:rRNA from 1 species
UACAGAGGUCUCAAGCGUUGUUCGGAUUCAUUGGGCGUAAAGGGUGCGCAGGCGGCCAAGUGUGUUAGGCGUGAAAGCCCGGGGCUUAACCCCGGAAUUGCACCUAAAACUACAUGGCUAGAGCAUUGGAGAGGGUAGCAGAAUUCACGGUGUAGCAGUGAAAUGCGUAGAUAUCGUGAGGAAUACCAGAGGCGAAGGCGGCUACCUGGACAAUUGCUGACGCUCAGGCACGAAAGCGUGGGGAGCAAAAGGG